AAUGUUUGGGUUUAGAACGAUAC
rnacentral:snRNA from 1 species